AGAACGAACGCUGGCGGCAUGCCUAACACAUGCAAGUCGAACGAGACCUUCGGGUCUAGUGGCGCACGGGUGCGUAACGCGUGGGAAUCUGCCCCUUGGUUCGGAAUAACAGUUAGAAAUGACUGCUAAUACCGGAUGACGACGUAAGUCCAAAGAUUUAUCGCCGAGGGAUGAGCCCGCGUAGGAUUAGCUAGUUGGUGAGGUAAUGGCUCACCAAGGCGACGAUCCUUAGCUGGUCUGAGAGGAUGAUCAGCCACACUGGGACUGAGACACGGCCCAGACUCCUACGGGAGGCAGCAGUGGGGAAUAUUGGACAAUGGGCGAAAGCCUGAUCCAGCAAUGCCGCGUGAGUGAUGAAGGCCUUAGGGUUGUAAAGAUCUUUUACCAGGGAUGAUAAUGACAGUACCUGGAGAAUAAGCUCCGGCUAACUCCGUGCCAGCAGCCGC
rnacentral:rRNA from 1 species